UGCUUCAGCAGCUUACACACUGUAUUAAAUCGGGACUGAUACUGAGCAGAUUCGCAUGACCCUUGAGCAAGGAUGGCAUGCAAAUUAGUAAAGUGUUCCAUAUUCAU